GACGAGGGGUCCAAGCGCUGUUCGGAAUCAUUGGGCGUAAAGCGGGUGUAGGUGGCUUUGUAAGUCAGGAGUGAAAUCCCCGAGCUUAACUUGGGAAGUGCUUUUGAAACUGCAGGGCUUGAGUGUGGGAGAGGAUCGUGGAAUUCCAGGUGUAGUGGUGAAAUACGUAGAUAUCUGGAGGAACACCGGUGGCGAAGGCGGCGAUCUGGCCCAACACUGACACUGAGACCCGAAAGCGUGGGGAUCAAACAGG
rnacentral:rRNA from 1 species